AAGUCGUAACAAGGUUUCCGUAGGUGAACCUGCGGAAGGAUCAUUAUCAUACAACGGAGGCGCUGGGGCUGUCGCUGACUUUUGUCGUGCACGCUCGGAGUGCUCUCUAAAAUCCAUCUCACCCCUUUGUGCAUCAUCGCGUGGGCCUCCCUUCUGGCUUGUUCCGAGGGGGGGUUCGCGUUUCUUUCACACAAACACCCUUUUAAAUGCAUGUGUAGAAUGUCUUACUUUUUGCGAUCACACGCAAUCAAUACAACUUUCAACAACGGAUCUCUUGUCUCUC
rnacentral:misc_RNA from 1 species